UCAGUCAAUAUGGUAAUAGAUUAAAGAAACACUUGUCUCAACUACAAGAACACGGGCGAUGUAUGCAUAAAUGCAUUGACCUAUUAAAGUUUUGAACAGGCCAACAUAACGAAGAACAAAACGACGGUUCGCACUUGCACAAAAACUUUCGAGCGACAAAGAAACAACAAAGAAAAGGGAAUAGAUAAUACUUAUAACCUAUUUCGGGUUUAGAUGAAGAAAGAAGUUCCUCGAUAUGGCGUCUGCACUCAAGAUUAUGUCCUUGCAGCUACAUAUUCCCCGAACAGUCGAUAUACAAAGAGUAUAC